rnacentral:rRNA from 1 species
CCUACGGGUGGCUGCAGUGGGGAAUAUUGGACAAUGGGGGGAACCCUGAUCCAGCCAUGCCGCGUGUGUGAAGAAGGCCCUCGGGUUGUAAAGCACUUUCAGUGAGGAAGAACGCCUGGUGGUUAAUACCCAUCAGGAAAGACAUCACUCACAGAAGAAGCACCGGCUAACUCCGUGCCAGCAGCCGCGGUAAUACGGAGGGUGCGAGCGUUAAUCGGAAUUACUGGGCGUAAAGCGCGCGUAGGUGGCUUGAUAAGCCGGUUGUGAAAGCCCCGGGCUCAACCUGGGAACGGCAUCCGGAACUGUCAAGCUAGAGUGCAGGAGAGGAAGGUAGAAUUCCCGGUGUAGCGGUGAAAUGCGUAGAGAUCGGGAGGAAUACCAGUGGCGAAGGCGGCCUUCUGGACUGACACUGACACUGCGGUGCGAAAGCGUGGGUAGCAAACAGGAUUAGAUACCCUAGUAGUC